UAUCUUAAUAUUAAUCACAAUACAUUUGAUAUUUCAUCUUCUCUUGUGUGUUUUAGUUGCAUUUGUUGUUUUGCGAUGUGAUUGAGCUGCUCAAACUGGCCCCUCUUCUUAUGCACAAACACCGCAACUCCUCUCUCACCUCCCCACUCUCAGGAAACAGGUUCUUCAGGUGAUGCAAAAUGAACUGUUCAAGCUUUCUGCUGACUCGCUGAAAAGGUUUUGGUGGUGACAGUGGCAUGAGUCAAGCAAAUCCUGUAAGGAUUAUUAAAGCUCACCUCUAAACUGGUACAGACGGUGUUACUUUCUUAACAGCCACAUCCUGAGACACACUCAGAGACCUCAUCUCAUCUCUUGUUUGCGUUUCUUCUACCUUGGUUUCACUAUUCCCGCUCUUCCAUUCGCAUUCUUUUUGUUUGUUUUUGGGUUUUUGUUUUUUUUUACGUCUCUCCACAACAUGGCGCACGUCUUCUACUGGGGUAUGCACCCAGUCUCUUGGUUCAUUCUCUUUGCCAAUAUAACUUUCACCGUCAUAGAAUGGAAGUUUCUUAUCUCUCAGUUCAUCAAACUUACCUGGAAAUCAGACCAAGUGCAAGUCAAAGCCUAAAUCCUGGAGGAAAUCAUCUACAUCCUGAUGCUGCACUGAAAAUAUUUAGCUGCUUCUGUGCAAUUCACACCAGAAU